GUGGAUUUGAUACCCUCGUAGUCCACGCCCUAAACGAUGUCUACUAGUUGUCGGGUCUUAAUUGACUUGGUAACGCAGCUAACGCGUGAAGUAGACCGCCUGGGGAGUACGGUCGCAAGAUUAAAACUCAAAGGAAUUGACGGGGACCCGCACAAGCGGUGGAUGAUGUGGAUUAAUUCGAUGCAACGCGAAAAACCUUACCUACCCUUGACAUGUCAGGAAUCCUGGAGAGAUCCGGGAGUGCCCGAAAGGGAGCCUGAACACAGGUGCUGCAUGGCCGUCGCCAACU
rnacentral:rRNA from 1 species